rnacentral:misc_RNA from 1 species
GAUUUUUCGCAUUUUGGUUUAUGGGUAAGCCCUACACCUCAGGAUUCAAAUAUAGGACAAUUCAGUGAAAAUUUCAAGCCUUUACCUUUGGGAUGCGUCCCAUAAAGACCAUUCAUGUAGUUCUUUUCUUUUUUAACUCUAAAAUGAUACGUUUCUUCUUUCCAUGAAAGAUUGAAACUUUAGAUUUUAAUUUUCAGGGCUUGGCUCAUUUUGGUCUGGCUUCUGGUUAAGGUAUCUAUUUGAGGCAUAGGGAAUGUCUCCCAUUCUGAUUUUGAGGACUAAAUUCCAAUUGAAAUUGAAAUCAAUAAGCUAAAUACCUGUAUGCCACUGUAGCCAAAGUUGGGUAAAUGGGCUAUAAUUUUUUGAUAAAGGCUAAGAAGUAAUUUUGCUCUUUUCGCAAUAACUCAGCCGUGUGUAUCACCAUCAGGUGGCAUUUCAAGUGAUUAGUGAGCAACUAAUGCUCCUGCAAUUUUCUACUAUUAUUUUCUCUCUUUCUCUCUCUCUUGUUUUAUUCUUAAUUAAAUUUUCUGUCCUUUUCUUAUUUAUAAGAAUGUGAGGAUCACAUCAUUAGUUUAUUAAAUUAUUAGAUUCCAAUUUUUUUAUGGUUAAAAAGCAUCCAGAAAAUUU